UUAGGAAGUAGUUAAGUUGGUUAGAGCUCUUGGCUGGCAGUCAAGAGGUCGUGGGUUCGACUCCCAUCUUCUCCAU
rnacentral:tRNA from 1 species